GCACCUGGGCCUGGGAACGCACCUAAAGCCAGAGAGCUCCACACCUUACCUGCUCCGUCCCAUUCCACCUGAGCCUCUUCCUCCUCUGCUGGGCACCUGGGCCUGGGAACGCACCUAAAGCCAGGUAAGAGCGAACAAUGCCUGGGUGGUCCUGGAUCUCGAAC
rnacentral:lncRNA from 1 species